rnacentral:lncRNA from 1 species
CGGAAGUUACGCUAUGUGUUGCAGGGUUCUUUGUUGUUCAGUCCCCCUCCCCAUAACUCUAUACUACGCCACAUCUAUUUUUUCUAAGGAAAAAGCGGGUUCUGAGUUUUCCUUCUUUCGUUGAAGACUUGCCAUGCCUCUUAUUUUUUGUGCAUUGUUUCCAAGUUCUUGUUUCAUUCAUUUUAGAGUGGUCUUUAAAGUGACAAAAAAUGACGAGCCUUAAGGGUGCGUUUGGUACGUGGGACGGGACGGGACGGAACGGGACGAGGCGUUCCGUCCCGCGUUUGGUGCGCCAAAAAUGGGUGGAACGGGCUGUUCCACGGGACAGAUUUUGAGUGUUUUUGCGUUCCACCUCCCCCCUUGUUCCACGUUUGUGGAACGGGUUUGUUCCACGUUUGUGGAACGCAAUGUUUUACCAUUUUAAGACAAAUAUACCCCAUGUCUUUUUCAAAAAUUACACCUUCGUUCCGUCCCGUCCCGUCACGUCCCGUUCCGUUCCGUUCCGUCUGCGUACCAAACGCACCCUUAUGUAAUGCCGGGGAAAUAUGUUUUUAGAUUAGUGUCGUAUUACUGCCAUAAUACUUUGCUUACAUGAUUAUUUAA